GGAGCGCUUAACUUACAUUAUUAUUUGAAGUCUUAGCAUAUAGAUAUACAUAUAUGCUAUAUACUCAUAUGUCUUAGGUUCUGGUGAAAUUUUGAAUAUAUACAUAUAUUGGCUGGGCGUACCUUCUAAGAUUUUGAAGCCAGAGAAUUAAAAACUCAAAAAAAGUUUUUACAACGUCAUAUGGUAUAUCAAAACGCUGUAUUGGUGUGCUUUGAAGAUGGCUAAAAGAAACCAAAGGAGUUCUCACGCUUAUAGAAGAGUUUUCCGGAGAAAUGUCUAAAUGAAAACAAUGUGCAGUUACCUUUGUUAUUGCAGAUUGCAAAGCGAAAUUAAUAAACAUUAUGAAUACAUGCAUUA